rnacentral:rRNA from 1 species
AUUAGACACGAAACCAGGUGAGCUAACCAUGGUCAGGUUGAAGCGAGUUUAAAAGCUCGUGGAGGACCGAACCUACUAAUAUUGCAAAAUUAGGGGAUGAACUGUGGUUAGAGGUGAUAUGCCAAACGAACUUGGAGAUAGCUUGUUCUCCCCGAAAUAGCUUUAGGGCUAGCGUUAAGCGUUUAGUAACGGAGGUAGAGCACUGAAUGGGCUAGGGGGCUUAUAGCUUACCAAACCUAAUCAAACUCCGAAUGCCGUUACUCCAAGCUUAGCAGUCGGACUCCGGGAGAUGAGUUUCGGGGUCGAGAGGGAAACAGCCCAGAUCAACAGCUAAGGUCCCCAAAUUUGUACUAAGUGGGAAACGAUGUGAAGUUACUGAAACAACCAGGAGGUUUGCCUAGAAGCAGCCACCCUUUAAAAAGUGCGUAACAGCUUACUGGUCGAGUGAUUUUGCGCGGAAAAUUCAACGGGGCUAAGUACAAUACCGAAGCUUUGAACUCUCGCUUUAGCGAGAUUGGUAGGGGAGCGUUCUGCCAGCGAUGAAGGUCGAUCGAAAGAACGGCUGGAGUGGGCAGAAGUGAGAAUGCAGACAUAAGUAGCGUAAAACACGUGAGAACCGUGUUCGCCGUAUAUCUAAGGUUUCCGACGCCAGGUCAAUCCGCGUCGGGUUAGUCAGGACCUUAGCCGAGGCCGAGAGGCGUAGGCGAUGGACAUCCGGUCAACAUUCCGGAACCACUUAAGAUGAGUGAUGGAGGGACGCAACGAGGUAGGCCAGCCCACGAUUGGUUGUGUGGGUGUAUUGUAUGUCAGCCGAUGAGGACUAUAGGAAAAUCCGUAGACCGAGGUGAGAUACCGUAACGAGCCUAUAAGGCAUAAGUGAGUUGAGCCUUGUUGCCAAGAAAAGCUUCUAAACGAUGAAUCUUGAGUGCCUGUACCGCAAACCGACACUGGUAGAUGGGUAGAAUAUACCAAGGCGAACGGGAGAACCCUUGUUAAGGAACUAGGCAAUUUAGCCACGUAACUUCGGGAUAAGUGGUGCCCUCUGAUGUGAAUGAAUAAUGAGCGUCGGGGGGUCGCAGUGAAAUGGUUCUAGGGACUGGUUACCAAAACCACAGGUCUCUGCAAAGUCGUAAGACGAUGUAUAGGGGCUGACACCUGCCCAGUGCCGGAAGGUUAAAGGGAGGGGUUAGGCGCAAGCCGAAGCUCUGAACUGAAGCCCCGGUGAACGGCGGCCGUAACUAUAACGGUCCUAAGGUAGCGAAAUUCCUUGUCGGG